rnacentral:rRNA from 1 species
UACGGGGGGAGCAAGCGUUGUUCGGAUUUACUGGGCGUAAAGGGCGCGUAGGCGGCCACCGCAAGUCGACUGUGAAAUCUCCGGGCUUAACCCGGAAAGGUCAGCCGAUACUGCGGGGCUAGAGUGCAGAAGGGGCAACUGGAAUUCUCGGUGUAGCGGUGAAAUGCGUAGAUAAUCGAGAGGAACACCUGCGGCGAAGGCGGGUUGCUGGGCUGACACGUGACGCUGGAUGCGCGAAAGCUAGGGGAGCGAACGGGG